rnacentral:rRNA from 1 species
AUUGAACGCUGGCGGAAUGCUUUACACAUGCAAGUCGAACGGCAGCACGGACUUCGGUCUGGUGGCGAGUGGCGAACGGGUGAGUAAUGUAUCGGAACGUGCCCAGUCGUGGGGGAUAACGGAGUUAAAAUUACGCUAAUACCGCAUACGAUCUAUGGAUGAAAGCGGGGGAUCGCAAGACUUCGCGCGCUCGGAGCGGCCGAUAUCGGAUUAGGUAGUUGGUGGGGUAAAGGCCCACCAAGCCAACGAUCUGUAGCUGGUCUGAGAGGACGACCAGCCACACUGGAACUGAGACACGGUCCAGACUCCUACGGGAGGCAGCAGUGGGGAAUUUUGGACAAUGGGCGAAAGCCUGAUCCAGCCAUUCCGCGUGCAGGAUGAAGGCCCUCGGGUUGUAAACUGCUUUUGUACAGAACGAAAAGGUUUCUACUAAUACUAGGAGCUCAUGACGGUACUGUAAGAAUAAGCACCGGCUAACUACGUGCCAGCCGCCGCGGUAA